rnacentral:rRNA from 1 species
UUGAUGCCAUGCUUCCAAGAAAAGCUUCUAAGCUUCAGGUAACCAGGAACCGUACCCCAAACCGACACAGGUGGUCGGGUAGAGAAUACCAAGGCGCUUGAGAGAACUCGGGUGAAGGAACUAGGCAAAAUGGCACCGUAACUUCGGGAGAAGGUGCGCCGGCUAGGGUGAAGGAUUUACUCCGUAAGCUCUGGCUGGUCGAAGAUACCAGGCCGCUGCGACUGUUUAUUAAAAACACAGCACUCUGCAAACACGAAAGUGGACGUAUAGGGUGUGACGCCUGCCCGGUGCCGGAAGGUUAAUUGAUGGGGUUAGCGCAAGCGAAGCUCUUGAUCGAAGCCCCGGUAAACGGCGGCCGUAACUAUAACGGUCCUAAGGUAGCGAAAUUCCUUGUCGGGUAAGUUCCGACCUGCACGAAUGGCGUAACGAUGGCGGCGCUGUCUCCACCCGAGACUCAGUGAAAUUGAAAUCGCUGUGAAGAUGCAGUGUAUCCGCGGCUAGACGGAAAGACCCCGUGAACCUUUACUGUAGCUUUGCACUGGACUUUGAGCCUGCUUGUGUAGGAUAGGUGGGAGGCUUUGAAGCGUGGACGCCAGUUCGCGUGGAGCCAUCCUUGAAAUACCACCCUGGCAUGCUUGAGGUUCUAACUCUGGUCCGUGAUCCGGAUCGAGGACAGUGUAUGGUGGGCAGUUUGACUGGGGCGGUCUCCUCCUAAAGAGUAACGGAGGAGUACGAAGGUGCGCUCAGACCGGUCGGAAAUCGGUCGCAGAGUAUAAAGGCAAAAGCGCGCUUGACUGCGAGACAGACACGUCGAGCAGGUACGAAAGUAGGUCUUAGUGAUCCGGUGGUUCUGUAUGGAAGGGCCAUCGCUCAACGGAUAAAAGGUACUCCGGGGAUAACAGGCUGAUACCGCCCAAGAGUUCAUAUCGACGGCGGUGUUUGGCACCUCGAUGUCGGCUCAUCACAUCCUGGGGCUGAAGCCGGUCCCAAGGGUAUGGCUGUUCGCCAUUUAAAGUGGUACGCGAGCUGGGUUUAGAACGUCGUGAGACAGUUCGGUCCCUAUCUGCCGUGGACGUUUGAGAUUUGAGAGGGGCUGCUCCUAGUACGAGAGGACCGGAGUGGACGAACCUCUGGUGUUCCGGUUGUCACGCCAGUGGCAUUGCCGGGUAGCUAUGUUCGGAAAAGAUAACCGCUGAAAGCAUCUAAGCGGGAAACUUGCCUCAAGAUGAGAUCUCACUGGGAACUUGAUUCCCCUGAAGGGCCGUCGAAGACUACGACGUUGAUAGGCUGGGUGUGUAAGCGUUGUGAGGCGUUGAGCUAACCAGUACUAAUUGCCCGUGAGGCUUGACCA